rnacentral:rRNA from 1 species
AUGAACGCUGGCGGCGUGCCUAAUACAUGCAAGUCGAGCGAACAGACGAGGAGCUUGCUCCUCUGACGUUAGCGGCGGACGGGUGAGUAACACGUGGAUAACCUACCUAUAAGACUGGGAUAACUUCGGGAAACCGGAGCUAAUACCGGAUAAUAUAUUGAACCGCAUGGUUCAAUAGUGAAAGACGGUUUUGCUGUCACUUAUAGAUGGAUCCGCGCCGCAUUAGCUAGUUUGUAAGGUAACGGCUUACCAAGGCGACGAUGCGUAGCCGACCUGAGAGGGUGAUCGGCCACACUGGAACUGAGACACGGUCCAGACUCCUACGGGAGGCAGCAGUAGGGAAUCUUCCGCAAUGGGCGAAAGCCUGACGGAGCAACGCCGCGUGAGUGAUGAAGGUCUUCGGAUCGUAAAACUCUGUUAUUAGGGAAGAACAAAUGUGUAAGUAACUAUGCACGUCUUGACGGUACCUAAUCAGAAAGCCACGGCUAACUACGUG